UUAUAAGGUAAUUAUGCUCUAUCACAUUAAGCUCGAUCUUGAAGGUUCUAUUAUGAGACAUUAUAGUCUUCAAGAUCAACCUUCCAUUUGAGUCGAGAACUCUCAUCAUUUUGUCUUUGAUCGACACCUUGUAGUUCUUUUUGACUAACUUCCUUAUGCUGAGCAAAUUUCUAUUCAUGUCGGGUAUGUAUAACACAUUUGAAAUUACUUACCUCCUGCCAUCCUUCCUCAUAAACAAGAUAUCACCAACACCUUCAACUGCUAGAGUGUUUUCAUUUGCAAAUUUUACCAUGUUCUUCAUUAAGGGAUUUAUAUUAACAAACAAAUAUUUCCUUCUAGACAUGUGUGAUGAGAAUCCUAAGUCCACGUACCACUUGUC
rnacentral:lncRNA from 1 species